rnacentral:rRNA from 1 species
AGUGAACGCUGGCGGCAGGCCUAAUACAUGCAAGUCGAACGGCAGCACAGCAGAGCUUGCUCUGUGGGUGGCGAGUGGCGGACGGGUGAGGAAUACAUGGGAAUCUGCCCAGUCGUGGGGGAUAACGUAUGGAAACGUACGCUAAUACCGCAUGCGCCCUAAGGGGGAAAGCCGGGGACCGCAAGGCCUGGCGCGAUUGGAUGAGCCCAUGUUCGAUUAGCUAGUUGGCGGGGUAAAGGCCCACCAAGGCGACGAUCGAUAGCUGGUCUGAGAGGAUGAUCAGCCACACUGGAACUGAGACACGGUCCAGACUCCUACGGGAGGCAGCAGUAGGGAAUAUUGGACAAUGGGGGCAACCCUGAUCCAGCCAUGCCGCGUGAGUGAAGAAGGCCCUCGGGUUGUAAAGCUCUUUUGUCCGGAAGAAAAGCAAUCGGUUAAUACCCGGUUGUUCUGACGGUACCGGAAGAAUAAGCACCGGCUAACUUCGUGCCAGC